GGCCCGUCACCUGGUUGUGCUAUGGAAGG
rnacentral:piRNA from 1 species